GCAUUGCUGAGGAGUCCCAUGAUGGGACGAAACGGCCGUCCAAUGC
rnacentral:hammerhead_ribozyme from 1 species